rnacentral:rRNA from 1 species
CACGGGUGAGUAACACGUAUCCAACCUGCCGUCUACUCUUGGACAGCCUUCUGAAAGGAAGAUUAAUACAAGAUGGCAUCAUGAGUCCGCAUGUUCACAUGAUUAAAGGUAUUCCGGUAGACGAUGGGGAUGCGUUCCAUUAGAUAGUAGGCGGGGUAACGGCCCACCAGCUCGAUGGAUAGGGGUUCUGAGAGGAAGGUCCCCCACAUUGGAACUGAGACACGGUCCAA